CCCAUAUCAAUAGCGCCAGAACUCGCAAGCGGAACGGGAAAUGUAGCGAAUAGCUGCUACUACGCGGUGAGUUGACGAGGUGAAGGUGUUCGAAACAUUCGGCGGGGACCUUCCGGCAUGAGGAGUGCCGUUAAGUUGGAGAGCAAAAACGUCUGGGCGACCAGGCUGACAAGUAUCCAACAACCUUUUAU
rnacentral:ncRNA from 1 species